rnacentral:rRNA from 1 species
CAAUAGCGUAUAUUAAAGUUGUUGCAGUUAAAAAGCUCGUAGUUGAAUUUUUGCUUGCCGCCGAUGUCGGAACUUCCGUACGUUCGGCGGCGUGCAUCCUUGGGUGGAACCUGUGUGGCAUUAGGUUGUCGUGCAGGGGAUGCUCAUCGUUUACUGUGAAAAAAUUAGAGUGUUCAAAGCAGGCUUACGCCGUUGAAUAUAUUAGCAUGGAAUAAUAAGAUAGGACCUUGGUACUAUUUUGUUGGUUUGCGCACCGAGGUAAUGAUUAACAGGGACAGUUGGGGGUAUUCGUACUCCAUUGUCAGAGGUGAAAUUCUUGGAUUUCUGGAAGACGAACUACUGCGAAAGCAUUUACCAAGGAUGUUUUCAUUAA